UGGGAUGUAGCUCAGUGGCAAAGCACUUGCUUAGCAAGUGCAACAUCCUGGGUUCAAUCCCCAGUAUCAAAA
rfam:Dipodomys ordii contig_52272, whole genome shotgun sequence.